AGCGAACGCUGGCGGCAGGCCUAACACAUGCAAGUCGAACGGACCCUCCGGGGUUAGUGGCGGACGGGUGAGUAACACGUGGGAACGUGCCUUUAGGUUCGGAAUAGCUCCUGGAAACGGGUGGUAAUGCCGAAUGUGCCCUUCGGGGGAAAGAUUUAUCGCCUUUAGAGCGGCCCGCGUCUGAUUAGCUAGUUGGUGAGGUAAGGGCUCACCAAGGCGACGAUCAGUAGCUGGUCUGAGAGGAUGACCAGCCACAUUGGGACUGAGACACGGCCCAAACUCCUACGGGAGGCAGCAGUGGGGAAUCUUGCGCAAUGGGCGAAAGCCUGACGCAGCCAUGCCGCGUGGAUGAUGAAGGUCUUAGGAUUGUAAAAUCCUUUCACCGGUGAAGAUAAUGACUGUAGCCGGAGAAGAAGCCCCGGCUAACUUCGUGCCAGCCGCCGCGGUAAUAC
rnacentral:rRNA from 1 species